UGAGCCCAUCACAGGCCAGCAAGCUCCAUUCCCACACCACCCCAAGCAGAGGAGAACCCCCUCCCUGCAGGUGAUGGGAACUCUGAGCCAACGUACCAAUUUGAAUGCAAAUUUCCCCCAACUCAGGUUUGCUGACACCCAUGUUCCAGCGCAAGCUCCCCGCAGACCAGCAUGCAAAUGGUGGGCGCUGGGCUAGAAGAAGCUAUAAGAAGGGCGAGGGCGCGCGCAGACACGGACGUACCUAUUUUCCCAGCCUCCACUUUCAGGUUGAAAUCCCAGUUUCUUGGCAACUUCAGGGACAUUUUGCUCCCGCUCGGGCAUGCCCCAAUGAUGCUUGUCACCAUCACCCUCAUCACCAUUACUCUUGGAGCUGAUGUUUUCCACAAGGAUUCAUAACAACGCCCGAGGAGGCUGGAAGGACAACACACGAGCUGCCUCACUGACCAGCAUGGGACAAACGGGUGGCAGAGAAAGGGAGUUCAGUUUUCUGGAUCGUCCACAGUUGGAGCAUCUGAGCAGACUCCAGGAGAGCCACAGCAUGAGGGCCCACCUUUGCCAGGAGGUCUCUGUUCAGGAGACAAAGCCGGGGAGUCCUCUCUGGGCUGGGGUCCUUGUGCGGCCGGACAGUUCCCUAUGAUCCGUAGAUUCUUCCCUUACCAAGGACAAAGAGAAACUUGGCUGCUAGUGCUACCCAGGUGCUGUAGCUCAUGACGUUUUUAACAGAAUUAAUUGUAUAUUGGGGGAGAGACACAAGCAAAGAUGAAUCUAGAUUGAGCCUCUUGGUGGUAGAGCCUAAACAGAAGGGACUUUGCUUUUUACUAUUUAACCAAAAAAAAAAAAAAAAAAAAAAAAAAAAAGCUCAUGGAACGUAAAUAAAGAGGUGGCUGAGGCUGGGGCUCCAUCGCACCUGUCUCCCCUAGUCCUUGAGGAGUUGCUUGGUGAAAUCUUAAGGCCCUGACCAUGGCGGUGGUUCCAUGAGUCCCAUGUCUUUCUCCUUCCGUGGUGAGGGUGCAGUGGGCCGAGAAGGGAAAGCGAUGGGUGACAGAGUCCAUUUAAAAGUAUAACAAAACUAAAAACCACCUACUUUUUAAAAUCACCACCAUGCAUAGUAAUUCUAGAUAAUGCCUGUGCCAAACAGUCCUCCCUUUCGUUGGACCGCCUCCAGUCCCUGCCCUCCUGGUAGGUCCCCAUGACCCUGCUGGUAACAAGAACUCCCACCUCGUCCAGGGGGGAGAAUUUUCUCCUUGCUGUGGAA